UGCGUAGGCGGUUUAUUAAGUCUAAGAUAAAAGCCUGGAGCUCAACUCCAGUUCGUCUUAGAAACUGGUAGACUUGAGUGUGGUAGAGGUAAAUGGAAUUUCUAGUGUAGCGGUGAAAUGCGUAGAUAUUAGAAGGAACACCAGUGGCGAAGGCGAUUUACUGGGCCAUAACUGACGCUGAGGCACGAAAGCGUGGGUAGCAAAUA
rnacentral:rRNA from 1 species